rnacentral:tRNA from 1 species
GCCCAGUUAGCUUAGUUGAUAGUGCGUCUGCCUUGUAAGCGCUAGGCCGCGGGUUCGAUUCCCGCCCGGGGCG